rnacentral:lncRNA from 1 species
CCGACUCAGUACGUCUGCUUCCUCCACCCCUCUCAGGGAUGGGAAGUAUCGUUUAGCGCUCCGUUGUACGGCUCGUUUUGGUGUCAGUGCGGCAGGAGGACGCUGCGGGGCGCUCUCCGCCGGGCAAAGAGGAGUAAAGCGGAGUAAAACGGAGUAAAGCGGAGCUGGGAGAUGCAUCGGGCUGUGUCCGGGCGUACCUGGAGGAAGCCCGGACCGAAGCGCUGGCCACAGUGAGUGACCGGGGCAGUUUGGGAAAAGGAGACGACCGCAUCCUGGGUGACAUCUGCCGGAGGGCACGGGGGAAGAAGAGUCAAGGCUUCGCCUCUCUGCCCUGCUCCGAGUGCAGCCGCUAUCUCUUUCCUGCCCGGGGAGCAAGCUGUGCGGGUGGCCCUUGCCCUGUGAGGGUCUGAAGCGCGGUCACACUGGGGCAGAUAACUUCCUUAAGGUCAGAAGUAUUACAGCGGUUGCAUCUGAUCAGUUGUGCUAGCAUUCACAGAUACCUUUGUGAAGUCUCUGCACAGUGCAUGUGUUUACUUCAGUGUCCUCUGGAGAGGGAUAGAGCCUUUCAAAUCAGGUGCAGCACAACUUGACUGCACCCCAAAUUUAUGUGUGCUGGGAGAAAAAAAGGAGUUAGGAGUCCUUCCUUUCUUCCACCUUUCCUACUGACGGAGUCUUCUCUGACCAAGAGAGCAACUCUCACAAAUGACCUCGAGAGACUUUACAGUAUACCCCUAGCCUGAAAUGAUGGAAGAUUUACAUCAGAUAUAAGGAAGAAAUAUUUUACAGUAAGGAUGACGAGGCACUGGAACAGGUUGCCCAGCAAGAUGGUGGAAGCCCUGUCUUUGGAGACGUUCAAGACUUUGGAUAAUCACUGAAUGCUAACAGAACUUAUUUUCUGGAAUGAAGACAAAUGUGGAGUUUUUCUGCUUUGAAUCAGGGUAGAAGAGAUUUUGAAGUGAUACUUCUGUACUGUUUGUCAGCUUCAAACAGCUUUAAGCUUUGUUCAUGGAAGUUCCUCAGACAGGUUGUGUCUGAAUGUUUUGUACACUGCCUAUGAAGAAAUGAGAAAUCAGUGCGUUCUCCCAAAUACCACAACUUACAGCACCUGAUACAGGAGGUAGCUCUCUUGUUCAGGGCUGCUCUGUAACGUUUCAUUUUGGAGAGGAACUUGAAAAAGCAACGAGCAAGAGUGGAUUAGACACAGAUACUGAAAAAUAAAGUUCUGCUUGUUCGGAUUCAGUGCAUGUGGAGAAAGAAAACGAAUCAACGAGUCUUGUGGCUAUCCAAAAAAAUGAACAGUACUUGAAUCAACUGCACGAGGACAGCACAAAACCUAGAAGACAUUCACUUUGAAAGAGCAACCUCUUAAAAGCUCUCUGGAAUUUUGUCUACCUUGUGUACUGCAAUCAGUUGCAUCAUCAAGACAAAAUCUCAAAGGCUGUCCCAGGUUCAAGGAGGAUUAACUCAAAGCCAGGCCUCUUAGGAACGUUCUUAAGCAGAUCCUGACGUGUGCAGAGUUUGGUCUCCUAGGAAAAGAGGCUCUUACUUAAGUGGCAUAGUGCCUUGUUUUAAAGGCAGAAAGCAUGGAUUAAAUUUGGUUCUGAAGUGCUGUGCAUAGCGUUUCAUGCUACAGAUUUUCAAGGAGAGUUUACUUGUGCCCUUUGAUACUUGCUCCAGGGGCAGUAUUUGUGCAGGCCCGGUGACUGCUUUAUCUUUUGCCUUCACUGUGAUCAAUAUAGGCAAAUAAUUAAAAUAACUGAAUUUGAAACAUCAUAGAGCGUCUGAGAGUUAAGGUAGCCAAGAAAGACGAGCUUUUUAUCAUAGCAACAAUGCAACCACCUUUGAAUGUCACGUACUGCAGCCACAAAAAGAAGAGUAUUGCCUUGAAACCUAUCACCUUACCUCAGCUCCCAUGUCAUUGUCAGUUGUUGUUUUGUACUGUGCUACUUGUCCUUAGGAAAAUCUGUGGGCUAGCGUGUGGGAAGUUGACAUAGACUUUACUCUGGGUCUGAUGUAAGAGGAAUUCAUACAGGCUGCUAUUGCCCUGUUGAGCUGUUCUUUGGCUAUCACUGAAGUAUAGUAUAGAAUAGUAAAGAAUUGCUAUAUGAGGGUUAUUCUUUGUGACAUCUGCUUUUAAGUAUAUAUGAAACUGUGCUAUCGAACAAGAUUCCAUCUCAAAGCUGAGAUAUCUGUUGCCAACAUUCACUCAGGAGAGGGCAGGGCUGCCAUGAGAGGAAGAAACUGAUGCUGCUGAGAUUUUAAGUAUAGAUGAUGUCACAAUAAAUAGCAAGCUAUAUGAGUAGCUUUAUUCCGCUGGCUUUCAGCCCACCUUGGAAGCAAGGUCUGGCGACAGCGCGCUCCUCCCUUGCUGCUCCCCUUCUCCCCCUGGCCCGCCCCUGCGGCUCCCUCAGUCCCGCCCCGGAGCAGCAGACGAGGACCCAUUGGCCCCCGCCCUCCUCUUCUUUGCAUAGGGGAGGCCGUGUCCGCCCCAGGCACCGCCCCUCACGGGUGUGCAGCCGUGCGCGCGCUGUUGUGGCACGUGAGGGCGGCGCACGUGGGUCCGUUAUGUAAAGCAC